rnacentral:rRNA from 1 species
UACGUAGGGUGCAAGCGUUGUCCGGAAUUACUGGGCGUAAAGAGCUCGUAGGUGGCUUGUCGCGUUGUUCGUGAAAACUCACAGCUUAACUGUGGGCGUGCGGGCGAUACGGGCAGACUUGAGUACUGCAGGGGAGACUGGAAUUCCUGGUGUAGCGGUGGAAUGCGCAGAUAUCAGGAGGAACACCGGUGGCGAAGGCGGGUCUCUGGGCAGUAACUGACGCUGAGGAGCGAAAGCGUGGGGAGCGAACAGG